GGAGAGAUGGCUCAGCAGGUAAGAGCACUGACUGCUCUUUCACAAGACCUGGGUUUAAUUCCCAGUAUCCA
rnacentral:tRNA from 1 species